rnacentral:rRNA from 1 species
AGUGAACGCUGGCGGUAGGCCUAACACAUGCAAGUCGAACGGCAGCACAGUAAGAGCUUGCUCUUACGGGUGGCGAGUGGCGGACGGGUGAGGAAUACAUCGGAAUCUACUUUUUCGUGGGGGAUAACGUAGGGAAACUUACGCUAAUACCGCAUACGACCUACGGGUGAGAGCAGGGGAUCUUCGGACCUUGCGCGAUUGAAUGAGCCGAUGUCGGAUUAGCUAGUUGGCGGGGUAAAGGCCCACCAAGGCGACGAUCCGUAGCUGGUCUGAGAGGAUGAUCAGCCACACUGGAACUGAGACACGGUCCAGACUCCUACGGGAGGCAGCAGUGGGGAAUAUUGGACAAUGGGCGCAAGCCUGAUCCAGCCAUACCGCGUGGGUGAAGAAGGCCUUCGGGUUGUAAAGCCCUUAUGUUGGGAAAGAAAUCCAGCCGGCUAAUACCUGGUUGGGAUGACGGUACCCAAAGAAUAAGCACCGGCUAA